rnacentral:rRNA from 1 species
UACGUAGGGUGCGAGCGUUAAUCGGAAUUACUGGGCGUAAAGCGUGCGCAGGCGGCUAUUUAAGCUUGCUGUGAAAGCCCCGGGCUUAACCUGGGAACUGCAGUGAGGACUGGAUGGCUGGAGUGUGGCAGAGGGGGUGGAAUUCCACGUGUAGCAGUGAAAUGCGUAGAGAUGUGGAGGAACACCGAUGGCGAAGGCAGCCCCCUGGGCUAACACUGACGCUCAGGCACGAAAGCGUGGGGAGCAAACAGG